rnacentral:rRNA from 1 species
UACGGGGGGAGCAAGCGUUGUUCGGAUUUACUGGGCGUAAAGGGCGCGUAGGCGGCCACCGCAAGUCGGUUGUGAAAUCUCCGGGCUUAACCCGGAAAGGUCAAUCGAUACUGCGGGCUAGAGUGCAGAAGGGGCAACUGGAAUUCUCGGUGUAGCGGUGAAAUGCGUAGAUAUCGAGAGGAACACCUGCGGCGAAGGCGGGUUGCUGGGCUGACACUGACGCUGACAGCGCGAAAGCUAGGGGAGCGAACGGG